GUGGGGAAUAUUGGACAAUGGGCGAAAGCCUGAUCCAGCCAUGCCGCGUGUGUGAAGAAGGUCUUCGGAUUGUAAAGCACUUUAAGUUGGGAGGAAGGGCAGUAAGCUAAUACCUUGCUGUUUUGACGUUACCGACAGAAUAAGCACCGGCUAACUUCGUGCCAGCAGCCGCGGUAAUACGAAGGGUGCAAGCGUUAAUCGGAAUUACUGGGCGUAAAGCGCGCGUAGGUGGUUUUGUAAGUUGGAGGUGAAAUCCCCGGGCUCAACCUGGGAACUGCCUCCAAAACUGCAUGACUAGAGUACGGUAGAGGGUAGUGGAAUUUCCUGUGUAGCGGUGAAAUGCGUAGAUAUAGGAAGGAACACCAGUGGCGAAGGCGACUACCUGGACUGAUACUGACACUGAGGUGCGAAAGCGUGGGGAGCAAACAGGAUUAGAUACCCGAGUAGUCC
rnacentral:rRNA from 1 species